UACGGAGGGUGCUAGCGUUGUUCGGAAUUACUGGGCGUAAAGCGCGCGCAGGCGGUCCUUUAAGUCUGAUGUGAAAGCCCACGGCUCAACCGUGGAGGGUCAUUGGAAACUGGGGGACUUGAGUACAGAAGAGAAGAGUGGAAUUCCACGUGUAGCGGUGAAAUGCGUAGAGAUGUGGAGGAACACCAGUGGCGAAGGCGGCCUGCUGGGCUGUUGCUGACGCUGAGGCGCGACAGCGUGGGGAGCAAACAGG
rnacentral:rRNA from 1 species